GACGAACGCUGGCGGCGUGCCUAAUACAUGCAAGUAGAACGCACAGUUUAUACCGUAGCUUGCUACACCAUAGACUGUGAGUUGCGAACGGGUGAGUAACGCGUAGGUAACCUGCCUGGUAGCGGGGGAUAACUAUUGGAAACGAUAGCUAAUACCGCAUAAUAUUAAUUAUUGCAUGAUAAUUAAUUGAAAGGUGCAAUUGCACCACUACCAGAUGGACCUGCGUUGUAUUAGCUAGUAGGUGAGGUAACGGCUCACCUAGGCGACGAUACAUAGCCGACCUGGGAGGGUGAUCGGCCACACUGGGACUGAGACACGGCCCAGACUCCUACGGGAGGCAGCAGUAGGGAAUCUUCGGCAAUGGACGAAAGUCUGACCGAGCAACGCCGCGUGAGUGAAGAAGGUUUUCGGAUCGUAAAGCUCUGUUGUAAGAGAAGAACGGGUGUGAGAGUGGAAAGUUCACACUGUGACGGUAUCUUACCAGAAAGGGACGGCUAACUACGU
rnacentral:rRNA from 1 species